UGAAUGGAAAGAUGGACAGAUAGAUGGAUGAACAUAAUUGGGUGGAGGGAUGGAUGGAUAGAUGAUUGGAUUAACGGAUGGAUGGAUGGAUUCUGAGGUAAGUAGAGAGAGAGACCCCCAAAAAAACAGCCCACGCGACCUUGUCAACUCCAAUCACAGAGGAGAGAGAGAGAGAGAGAGAGAGAGAGAGAGAGAGAGAGAGAGAUGGGGGCGCAAUCUAGCGGCAGCAGCAGAGUGUCAGAGCGCGCGAGUGACCGAGACGCUGUGCGCUCUCUCUCUCGCUCUCUCUCUCUCUCUCUCUCUCUCGCGCCCGCGCUCUUCUCUCCUCCGCUCUCCGGUCCUCUCUGUGUCUCGUGCGCUCUCUCAUUGGAUCUCCUGCGUCUCGCGCUCACUGUUUCUGAGGCGCUGCUCCCAAAACCGACCAAACGACCAGCGGAUAUUUGGCCUUUUCCCUUCUACAACAAAAACAACAACAACAACAGGAGCGACAACAUCCCAGUCCGGCGGCGCAGCAGGAUACAGCAGCGCUCACGCGGAAAGGGGAGGUCGGGGGCCGCCGUUAUUAACGGAGGAAGCCGCCGAGCAGACAGGCUCGUUUGGUUCCUGCCAGUCUGAACGCCAUGACACCGUCUGAGAGAGUGUUGCUUUGCGUGAAGGCUUCGGAAGUCGGGGCACCUCUGAUUUCUCUAGUGAUCAGACACAGACGAGGAACAGAUGUUCAGAAGUUUGCUGAACCAUGGUAUCAUAAGCUGAGUGACUGAUAACACGAUGUACGUGUCAUCUUAAAAAUAUUCGGUGUAGAAUGAUUAAUAUGGUUUUUAAGUCUCUGGAUGCAGUGAAAAUGGCCUUGUAAUGUCUCUGUACAUCUAUCAUCAUAAUAUAGCCUCAUGGUUCUUCUCCACUGUGAAGGAGGUGUGGCUUGUGUUCUUCUCUAUAAUGAAGGAGGUGUGGCUUGUGUUCUUCUCUAUAAUGAAGGAGGUGUGGCCUGUGUUCUUCUCUAUAAUGAAGGAGGUGUGGCUUGUGUUCUUCUCUAUAAUAAAGGAGGUGUGGCUUGUGUUCUUCUACAUAUUUAAGAAGGUGUGGCUUGUGUUCUUCUCCAUUGUGAAGCAGGUGUGGCUUGUGUUCUUCUCCAUAUUUAAGGAGGUGUGGCCUGUUCUUCUCCAUAUUUAAGGAGGUGUGGCCUGUUCUUCUCCAUAUUUAAGGAGGUGUGGCCUGUUCUUCUCCAUAUUUAAGGAGGUGUGGCCUGUUCUCCAUAUUUAAGGAGGUGUGGCUUGUGUUCUUCUCCAUAGUGAAGGAGGUGUGGCUUGUGUUCUUCUCCAUUGUGAAAGAGGUGUGGCUUGUGGUGUUCUCCAUAUUUAAUGAGGUGUGGCCUGUGUUCUCCAUGGUGAAGGACGUGUGGCAUCUGUUCUUCUCCAUAUUUAAGGAGGUGUGGCCUGUGUUCUUCUCCAUGGCGAAGGACGUGUGGCCUCUGUUCUUCUCUAUAGUAAAGGAGGUGUGGCCUCUGUUCUUCUCUAUAGUAAAGGAGGUGUGGCCUCUGUUCUUCUCUAUAGUAAAGGAGGUGUGGCCUCUGUUCUUCUCUAUAGUAAAGGAGGUGUGGCCUCUGUUCUUCUCUAUAGUAAAGGAGGUGUGGCCUCUGUUCUUCUCUAUAGUAAAGGAGGUGUGGCCUCUGUUUCCCAAUGAAGGAGGUGUUUGUCUCUGUAUCUAUCAGUCCCAGUGAAGAAGGUGUGGCCGCUGUAUUUCUCCAUCAUAAUGAAAGAGGUGCAGCUUGUGUGCCUCUCCAUCCCAGUAAAGGACUGUGUCCUUUGUGCCUCUUAUUCCCAGUGAAAAAGACGUGGCUUCUUUAUCUGUUCGUCACAGUGAAGGAGGUGUAAUUGUGAAUUUGUGCUGUUCUGAAAAGGGUGAUAUUGGGCUGUACCGUUAUUAACCCUGAAUUUUUCACACCUCUCCUCUGGUCCAAAGAGUUAGGUAGUAAAGCGUUUGAUUAUUUCCUGUACGCAGGAUAAACACAAGUUUUCAUUCCAUUGCAUCAUUUUCUU
ensembl:lncRNA